rnacentral:lncRNA from 1 species
UGGCUGCUAGAGUUCUGCAUCUUCGCAGGAUUAUGAGCUAUGGUUAAUUAUAUCAUCUCUUAUCUUCAUGUCAUCCAUAUCGAGAAGCAAGCACUCUCCAGGAAUUUGUGUUUUGCAUAAAGACACAGCCCAGCAAAGUUAGGAUCUAUUGAAAGGACAUGAAGAGACUCCCAUCAGGAAAGAAACAGGCCAGUGGCUCACUGCCAGGCCCAGUUUCCCAGGCCCACUCUUGAUGGUUUUUUGACAGUUCAGCCAUUGAGUAACAACCCAACCACCAGAACUGCUGAAUGGCAUGAAAAGGACACAUAGCUACCACCUGCUGACCUCAGAUCAUCACAAUCAGGCUCUGAAUGCAUAAAAAAGUAACACUCAAUUUGAUUAAAUCCAGUGUUGUGCAGGAGAAAGAGAUGAGCUUUGGAGCACAUGGUCCUAGGUCCAAAUCCCAGUUUUGCUCCUUUCCAUUGCCUUUAAUUAAUUACUGGUAUAUCCAUUAAUCUUUCUAAGUCUGUGUUUCCACUCUAUAAAAUAACUUCUAAAUGAAGUACAUGUAUAGACUGCCUAGAAUAUACUGUGGGCACACAUUCAAUGUUAUCACCUCCCUCCACACUCAGAUGCUCUCACACUCUUAGCAUAAGAACAUCACGACUCUGUAUCCUUCUGUAAAUGUGAGUGAUCACAUACACACUCAAUUAUAUCAACCUCAGACAUGCCUCUUAAGCUCUGCAGAUCACCAGUCAUUACAGUCAUCAUAAAAACAAGCCCACAAAAUGGGACGUGGAACAGCAAAGUCUAUGUCCACUGUUCUCCCUCCUUCUCAGAGGGAGAAGAUUACCACAUGAUAUCUGAAGAGGCUAUGUUUAUUAUUGGUAUUCUUUUCUGUACACAGAAACACAGUUCAUUAAAAUAACAGGCCUAAAAGGAGACCAGAGAUUGGGUGACACAUGCUUUACUUGUGGGCCAAUGACAGAGCUCUUAAAACAAAUGGUAUUUUCUCACUAAACAUCAAAAUACAAACAAAACUGCAGUCUUUAUAGCCCAUUCCCUGCAGUACUCCUCUGGGUUCUUCUUCAUCAGCUGAGACCCUGGUGAAAUCCCUGUGCUGUAGCAUCAUAAUAGUAGGUUGGCAAUUUCAGCUACAGAGAGAUUCCAGUGGCAAUACCAAGGGCCCAUCUGGGGCUGCUGGGUUGUUGAUCAAAUGCUCUUCAUAUAUGUGAAUGGUGUCCCUGCCUGGCUUCUUGAAUAUGAACCAUCAUGGGAUGUGUUUGUAUACAUGUGCUUUGCUCUUACAUGCAGACUUAGAUUGUUUGGCUGCCAGUACCCUCACUGGCAUCUUCCCAAAACACUCAAAUAAUACAGCAAAUAAAUAUUACUUUUAUAGAGUAGGCAGUACUGUUCCAGUACUGGCAAAUCAAUAUACUUUUACAAGGUUUUGGCUGGGGUGCAGAGGGAGAAGAUUGCCACAUGGUAUCUGAAGAGGCUAUGUUUAUUAUUGGUAUUCUUUUUGUUUUUGUAUAUUCCUCAGAAGGAAUUGUGGUCAACAGCAUUUCCUCACUUUCACAUGAAAUAAGCCCAUGAGCCGAGAAGGCCAGGCAUCUCUCACCCCAGAACCUGUGUCAGAGUCAUCUCUGCCCUUGUCUCAGAUGUGCCUUCUUAGGCUGAGCUAACACCAUUGAAGAUGAUGGCUCUUGUCCUCUUCUGAAGCUCUGUGAUUGGUUGGGCAGCCCUCAUCCCUGAGGAGGCUGUAUGUCUAUCCUCGAUCUGACCCUAUUCCAGAAUUCUGCCUCAUGCUUUUUUGUAACAGAUUAUGAUUCUGGUUUCUUCACCUGGACUGAACGGGGGAUGGUUUAACUUUACUGGAGAGAGAUGAUGCACACCAACACUUCCCAACCCUUGAUCCAUGGGGCAUUAUACUUUUUAUCAUAUAAAGAAGGCUUUCUAUGACCAGCACUUGAGGAAAUGUUAAGUUAGACUGUUUUAUUUAGUGCAUAACUUUUGAUAGGCUAAAAGGCACUAUGAUUCUAUGAGAAUGGGAUCCAGUAUUGAGUGCUUCUCAGGAACAUGUAGCCAACAUGUUUCUCAUACUUAUCACAGACUCAGUGCCCUAAGGAAUAUACCUUGGGGAACUCUCAGGUAGACUUAAUAGGUAAAAUGAGAUGACAACCCCUAUCCACACUAGAUCUCUCAUUCUUCAGCAUGAACUUACUUUCCGAUAAAGAAGACUGUCACAUAUUUACUUCCAGGCACUAUUUCCCCUGAGGCACUGCCUGAAUACCCCUGCUCUUCAAAACUUUCUCCCAUCUACUCUCUCACACAAAUUUAUUAUAGAUGUUUUAAUUUCAUAUUUGAAAUGAAACUUUGAAUGAAAGUUCAAAGUGUUCUUAAGGUACCAAACCAGAAUGUUGUUGUCUCCAAUCAACAGUAUUUGCUGAGCUUUAUUAUGUGUAAUAAACCUUAUUGAUAAGGGAAGAGAAAAAGAGAAACGUUCUGAGAAAGAAGAUGAGGACUAGUGCUCUGCAGAUAAGUUGGUGAUCUGGCAGCUUUGCUGAGACCAGACAUAAGGCAUGUUGGCAUUUCCUGAGCAAGUGGGAGGAUUGUUGAGAGAUCUAGUUAGAAACCACCUAAUGGGUUCCUUUCAGACUCAAGAGAGACUUCCAGAUUCCAGAGAGGGCAUAAGAUGAGAAUCCCUUUAAAUGCUUCAGGGGGGUUAUCUCUUUGGUUGUUUUCAUGUAUACAUGGUGAAAAGUUUGCCUGGGAGACUGGCAACUCAAGCAGCCCAAAAGCUUUGUCAAUCCAGGAGGCAAAAGCAUUUUCCACAUGGGCGAAAGACAAUAGAUAUACGAAGGCCAGUUCUUUCCAAAAUAUAAGACAGGAAGCUUGAGCAGUUGAGCAGACAGAGGAGGGGCAUUGUAUUUUUCAUUCCUGUAACUGGGAUCCCUGCUGCAAAAAGUGUGAGUCAACUUUGUUUUUGCUUUUGUCUUUAACUAUCAAAGCACACCGUGUGGGAGAUGCUAGCCAGGAUCAAAAUGUAGCAUCAGUUGUAAAGCUUUCCACCAGUACUCCAUAGCCCUUCCUAAAAAGUGAGUACAGAGGUAUCUGACAAAGGGAGGGGAGAGGGGAAUAAAGGAAAGGCAGGGAGAGUAAAGGGAGAAGAUGAGGAGCUGAGUGAGAUUUCUUCAGUAGUAAGUGCUAUUGUGUAUUACUUACCUACUAGUCACAAUGGAAGAAAAUACCCUUCUAUUUCAGCAUCUAUUUAAUUUUACUCCUGGUUUCUUUUCAUUCUAACAGUAAGUUUUUACUUUCAAGAAAGAAUUCUCACUCCUGUUUUUGAGACAUGGGUAACAGACUUGUGGUUGCCAAGAGAGAGGAGAGAGGGAGUGGGAUAGACUAGGAGUUUAGGGUUAGUAGAUGGAAACUAUUACAUUUAGAAUGGAUAAACAGUGAAGUUCUACACAGGGAACUAUAUCCAACCUCCUGGGAUAGACCAUGAUAGAAAAGAAUAUAAAAAAUAAUGUAUGUAUGGGAUUUCCUAUUGUGGUGCAGCAGAAACAAAUCUGACUAGGAUCCAUGAGUAUGCGGGUUUGAUCCCUGGCCUUGCUCAGUGGGUUAAGGAUCUGGCGUUCCCAUGAGCUGUAGUGUAGGUUGCAGACACAGCUCAGAUCUAGUGUUGCUGUGGCUGUGGUGUAGCCUGGCAGCUGUAGCUCCAAUUCAACCCCUAGCCUGGGAACCUCAGAAUGCCAUGGGUGCAGCCCUAAAAAAAAUGUGUAUAUAUAUAUGACUGAGUCACUUUGCUGUACAGCAGAAAUUGGGACAACACUGUAAAUCAACUAUACUUUAACAAACAUGGAUUCCUCUAUGAGGUCUGGGGGGGUGGGCUUCUUUUUAUAACCAGCUAUGUCAUAUUAAUGCCUCUGUCUUACAGGAAUCCCCUGAGAGGUGAAAUAGCUGAGAAAGGAAUAAAACCUGGUGGUUGUUGACUUAAUGGGCAGCCAGGGAAUUUGGCUCUCUAUCCAUCUUCACAAGUUUUCGUACAAAGCUGUAACAAAGAAGUGGGUAGGAGCAAACAGGAGAGCUCCUCGUGCCUCUCAGACUGGACAUCACUAAGUCUACAAACAACAAAUAUGAUAUCAAUCUCAUAUCUACAUGGAAAUUUACAGUGCACAAAGCACAUCAUAUGUAUGUGUGUACGUGUGUAUGUAUAUCUCUUUAUGUAUGUAUGUGUGUGUGUAUAUGUGUGUUUAUGUAUGUGUGUGUGUGUACAUAUAUAUAUAUUCACUCAUUUAAUCCUCAUCAAAACAAUAAAAGCUUUGGAAAUAUUAUUCUUUAUUCCUUUUCAUACAGAUAACAAAGGCCUCAAAGAGAUAAAGUGAUUUGUUUGAUGCCAGGGCAAUAGUAAUUGGUAAAGCUGAGACAGGAGCUCAGAUUCUAUGACUUCAAGUCUGAUGUACUUUGCAUUUGCACUAUACAGGGAAACUGAGGCACUGAAAGAAGGUCAGUGAUUCCACCAAAGACACAUGGCUGUUUGGAAGAGAACCUAAACCAAACAGAUUACUCCAAGGUGACAGAACUAUUGUAGGGAAGCAGAAGGGGACUGAUAGGUAAGGUUUGGUAGAAUUCUCCACAUGAUUUCACAACAUCAUUUUAGAAGUUGAAAGGACUUAGAGGAGGAGAAAGAAAGAGAAAAUGCAAUUACUCACUUAUCCCCUCCCUUAUAGCCUUGAGGAAAUUCUUCCUAGGAUUUUUAACAUCUUGCUAAGAAUAAACAAAAGGUCAGGAGGUUCAAGGUGAAGCUGAGCUUCCCCCUAGGAAGGUCCCAAAGCCUGUCCUUCCUCACAAGCAUCUGCACAGUGUUUGGAGGCCUCAGCCACUUCAGGCAGGGACCAUCACAGAGCUCCCUAAGUCUCAGCCCUACUGGCAGGCAUAGCAGGUGUAACAUACACAGUCCCAUUUCAGCUACUAGAUUUAAAUUGUGUGUGUGUGCGUAUGUGUGUGGAGUGGGGCUGAAAGGCUUCCAUUUAAUUUAUGAGCCCUCAUGGAUAGCCACACUCACAACUAAGGUGCUAUUUCUGGGAUUUGACAAAUUUAAUUUUGUGGUUGCCAGGUUUCUUUCAUUUUUAGGAAAAGUAGUUCCAGCCCUAUUUGGAGUUUCCAAAUUUAGAGCUGAAUCCAAGUUUUUACUCUAUCCUUGCUAUAAAUGGGAUCCUAAUCAUUUUGAGGGCCUAGGGGAAAAUGUGUAAGCAUGAAAUUCAUCUUUUUCAUAUAUUUGCAUUUCCCCUCUAUAAGAUGGGAACAGUGGUACCCACUGUAACUACUUGGGGGUAGGGGGAGAGGGGCAUGGGGUAUCUGAAUAUCACUGAAUCUUGGCCUAAGAUUAGCCUACAGAAAAGAAUCUCAGACUCCUAGACUCCUAGUCUGGAAGCUGGAAGAUUCUCAUGAGGUAAGAUGGCCUAGUUGUAAAAUGCCCUGUGUGGAGCCUUUAUUUCUCUGUCGGUUUCUUUGCCUGUAUAACUGGUGGUAGUUUCUUCCUCAUGGGGUUGUUGAGAAAAUUAAAUUAUUUAUGUUAAUUACAGAGGGUCUUAAUCUUAUAAUGUUUAGCUAUUAUUUGUUAUUAAUAUCCCUAUUAUGUGGCUUCAUUGAGAAGACAGCAAGCGUUCACACUCAUAGGACACAAUGCACUGUGAAGUUCUGACUUAAAAAGUAAAAGCAACUUCUCUAGAGGAUAUGUGAGGGCACCUCCAUAAUUUCAUUGUAAUAAAUUCAGAACACAUUUUCUAUAAUUCAGCUACCCUCUCAUCAAAGAAUUUAAUGUUUGCUUUAGGCCAGUAAAAAAAGAUUUGGUAUUGUGUAUGCUGUGAUUGCAAGAAAAAGACCAAGCACUCUGUAGAGAGAUUAGUGGAGACUUCUCUGAGCAGAAACAACUAUAGAAUCUGCUCCAUAACUUCAGGAAUAGGCUCAGUGGCUACUGAAGAUCUAGUGACUUGGUUCAAGAGUCACUGUGAAAAUUUAACAGGAGUAGCCAAGGUGGCAUCGGCCUAGUGCUCUGGCCCAGGUGAUCAGCCUGUGGAAAUCUAAGGAGAACAAGGGAAGGUUGAGCCAAAGGUGACUCACCCAAAGUGACACAACCAAUAGGUCCUGCAGUUCAAAAUCAAUAGCAAUCAGUUUGAUUUCAAAGCCUGUUGAGCCAGACUGCCACUUGGACUUUUGAGACAGGGCUUAUAGUUUUGUCUUUUUUGAUAGAAAACUAUGAGGAGAGGAAAGUGCUAAUGUCAUCUGACAGAAGAAAGGGGAAAAUUAGCAAUUACCCUGCUAUGAAUCUGGGCUGUCCUCAUGAUGCAGAAGCUACUUGGAAGAAUAAUCCUACAAGGAGUCAUGGAUAGGAGUCCCUGAGGGCUGCCUCUCUCAGCAGGCUGUGUGAGAAGCCAGCCACAAGGGGCUGAGGACUUGGUGUCACUCUGAAAUUUGGUCUCUUCAGUUUAAAGAACUUCCCAAGGAAAGAUGGCUUUCUAAGGAGUUUUAUAGUAUUAAGCCAUAAACAAACUCUGGAACUGAGCCCAACAUGUGACAGAGCACUGUGCCCGGCACAGUGGUAUCCGAGCAGUGCAACAUGGCUGGUAACCAAGAAAGGGUCUAAUGAUACUCACAUUAUUUGCCAUAACAAAUAUGGCAAAGUGAAGGGAAUUUUCUUCCCCCUAAAAUUAUUGGGAGUUCCCGUUGUGGUUCAUCAGGUUGCAAACCUGACUACUAUCCAGAAGGAUUCAGGUUCGAUCCCCAGCCUUGCUCUUUGGGUUAAGGAUCUGGUGUUGCCAUAAGCUGUGGUGUAGGUUGCAGAUGUGGCUCGGAUCCCACAUUGCUGUGGUUGUGGUGUAGGCCAGUAGCCACAGCUCCAAUUAGACCCCUAGCCUGGAAACUUCCAUAUGCUGCAAU